CAGCCGCCGCGGUAAUACGGAGGGCGCGAGCGUUACCCGGAUUUACUGGGCGUAAAGGGCGUGUAGGCGGCCUGGGGCGUCCCAUGUGAAAGGCCACGGCUCAACCGUGGAGGAGCGUGGGAUACGCUCAGGCUAGAGGGUGGGAGAGGGUGGUGGAAUUCCCGGAGUAGCGGUGAAAUGCGCAGAUACCGGGAGGAACGCCGAUGGCGAAGGCAGCCACCUGGUCCACUUCUGACGCUGAGGCGCGAAAGCGUGGGAAGCAAACCGGAUUAGAUACCCCGGUAGUCCCUGUCUUUAUACA
rnacentral:rRNA from 1 species